GCCCGUAAGUAUAUACAAACCAAAGAAGAUCAUAUCGCAUGUAAGAAAAAUUGAUCUUUCAACAAAAAGGAACGUGCAUUGGAGGAUGCAUGCCCAAAUCAGGUUGAAGCCAGACCCUCCCGAUCAUUGAAGGCACCAAGGGCGAGGAGCUACAUCGAUGCUACAACAGUUACACCUUAUUGACCGCUCCUCGAGGUCAGAUCCUUAUAUCAUCGAGAUUUUCAUCUAUGGAAGGUCCUACUUAGGUCAAGAUAUCUUCCCAUCAUCAAUGUCUUAUGGACUAGUGUUCAAAGGUCUCAACCCCCAAGCCGAGAUGUCUCCGAGGGAUUGAUCCACC
rnacentral:lncRNA from 1 species